rnacentral:rRNA from 1 species
GUAAGGAAUAUUGGUCAAUGGACGCAAGUCUGAACCAGCCAUGCCGCGUGAAGGAUGAAGGUCCUCUGGAUUGUAAACUUCUUUUAUAGGGGACGAAACCUCUUUUUCUAAAGAGACUGACGGUACCCUAGGAAUAAGCACCGGCUAACUCCGUGCCAGCAGCCGCGGUAAUACGGAGGGUGCAAGCGUUAUCCGGAUUCACUGGGUUUAAAGGGUGCGUAGGAGGGCAGGUAAGUCAGUGGUGAAAUCUCCGAGCUUAACUUGGAAACUGCCGUUGAUACUAUCUGUCUUGAAUAUUGUGGAGGUGAGCGGAAUAUGUCAUGUAGCGGUGAAAUGCUUAGAUAUGACAUAGAACACCAAUUGCGAAGGCAGCUCGCUACACAUAUAUUGACUCUGAGGCACGAAAGCGUGGGGAUCAAACAGG